GACGAACGCUGGCGGCGUGCUUAACACAUGCAAGUCGAACGGAAAGGCCCUGCUUUUGUGGGGUGCUCGAGUGGCGAACGGGUGAGUAACACGCGAGUAACCUGCCCUUGACUUUGGGAUAACUUCAGGAAACUGGGGCUAAUACCGGAUAGGAGCUCCUGCUGCAUGGUGGGGGUUGGAAAGUUUCGGCGGUUGGGGAUGGACUCGCGGCUUAUCAGCUUGUUGGUGGGGUAGUGGCUUACCAAGGCUUUGACGGGUAGCCGGCCUGCGAGGGUGACCGGGCACAUUGGGACUGAGAUACGGCCCAGACUCCUACGGGAGGCAGCAGUGGGGAAUAUUGCACAAUGGGCGGAAGCCUGAUGCAGCAACGCCGCGUGCGGGAUGACGGCCUGCGGGUUGUAAACCGCUUUCGCCUGUGACGAAGCGUGAGUGACGGUAAUGGGUAAAGAAGCACCGGCUAACUACGUG
rnacentral:rRNA from 1 species